ensembl:lncRNA LINC01206 long intergenic non-protein coding RNA 1206
GACAGUUGUAACCGAUAGACUGGGCUGGGGCAACGCUGAUGAAAGGCAAAUUCCUGAGAGAAAAAUCACCCAGAUUUUUCAGUGCCUUCUCUAGCUUUCUAGAAGUUGUUAUGAGUGGACCUGACUACCUAGAGAGAGUAAUACAGAAGCUCCGUGCCGAUCACAGCUACCUCAUUACCAUGUUCCUCCAAGAUGGCCGCCCCUGAGGAGAAUCAUCAACUGGGCUUUACGGAAGAGAGAAAUCCAAACGACCAUCAGCAACAAAUGAAAGACUGAAGUUGAAAGUUUCAAGAUUGUCAAGAAUGACGAGUUGGACUUGGUCUAGUUACUUCCACAGCAGCAGGAGGAACAUGUGUGUGACUCAGGAUAACUGGGGAAGCCUUGGCUAGGCUUUCCUCAUGUCAACCUACCACUCAAAGGGAGAAAACCUCCUGAUCAGAGGAAAUCCAUAAUUUUUGAAUGCUGGCCGAGGUCUGUGACCUCUGACUGAAUGGUUUCCAAGCUCCGAAUUCCUAGGUGAUGUUUUCAUUUGUUCACACUUGCUGAAGAAGGGAAAGGCUCUCUGAUUUACGUGUAAGCAAAACAAUCUAAACAGUAGGAUAAAAUCAUGUUGGAAUGGAGUUCUGUGUGGAUGCUCCUUUGAACCAAAUCAGUUCCACAACUGACCCUGUCAGGGACAUAUAAAUUUAGCAUUUUGGUGUGGAUACAGAAGACGAGAUUAACACAGAUCAAGUAACAUGGAAAUAAAAAAGGAGACAAUGCUGGAUGAUACAGGGGCAGCCAACAAGAGGAGAAAACCCAAGCAUUGGCAAAUGCCUCAUUAUCCAAAGAACACUGAGGUGUGGAGCAAAACUGUGUUGAAUGAACUGUAGAUGGAAAUUCUCUCCUUCCCACCGAGGAGCCGCUGCAGGUUGCAGACUCCCAGAAUGCCACACUGAGAAGAGGAGGGCUAAAAUUCUAGAGCAGAAUCCCUGGGGCAGCCCCUGCUGAAGAAGGGUGCAUCUGUUGAGAAUCUCAUCACCGCCCCCACCCCGCCCAGCCUUCAAUUUAGAGGAAUUUCUAGUUCACGCAGAAUGAAGACAAGAUCACAUAAGUGAGGACGACGCCCCAUUUACAAGGGCCUCAGAGUAUGUCAGCUGGGGUCAGACGGGAACAGGAGUCUGGCUCAACACACAUUUAUUGCACUCCUGUUUCAUGCCAAGAAAUGUACCAAAAUCUGGGACUGUGUAACACAGCAAAGGAAAAGACUCAUCUCCAGGAAGCCCCCUUGUCUAGGAAGAGAAAUUGAAUAUCAGCAUAAGGUGGUGAAAAGCUGUGAAGGAGAUGAGUGCCAGGAGUCCAUGGAGGAAGGAUUCUAGCCUGGACAGGGAUUCAAAACAGACAGUAAAGAACAAAAGUCUAGCCCUUUGAGCAUUCUCCAUGGGACAUUUGAGGUCUAGCUGGCCCCAGAGAAAGAGAGACAGAAGCAAGGUCAUAUCCAUUUGAGAAAAUCAAAGUGUCUGCUCCAAUUGAGUCUGGUGUCCUUAUUCCUGGAAUAGCCAUCCCUACUGCUCUGGUGCUGAUUUACCUCCGGCAGUUCAGUGCUUCCUGGAAGGUGAUUGUGGUGAAUAGUCAUGAGAAUCUGGGAACUGGCUCCUGCUCUGUCUAUCUUGGAGAUGCAUCUUUUGUGAGAAGCCAGGGCAAGAAUAGGGAGGCUUAGGCAAUGGGAAGUUUCUGAGUAGAUAAAGCAGAUGGCAGAGCAAAGGGACAGAGCCUGGCGAGAGGCUACUCCCUGUAGCAACCUGCCUAAGAGUGAGAGGAAAGCAAGGCAUGGCUAUGAGCACGUGUAGUCUCAGCUACUUGGGAAGCUGAGGCUGGGGGAUCACUUGAGCCCAGGAGUUCAAGACCAGCCUAGGCAACAUAGUGAGACCAUGUCUCUUUAAAAAAAAAAAAAAAAAGAAAAA